CGGCUGUGGGGACCGCCCAGAGCUCUUCUGCAGGCCGACCAUUAUAUCCCCAUUAGUGCUCAGGUUACGCUUGUGGGAACAUGCUGCCUCCAUCUUCAGUCUUCAAAGAAUAUUUAAUCAGCAAGGAUAAGGCGACAGCUGUCACCGCUACACUUGUGCCGCGAGGGUGGCGUAGAUCUUGCCUGCCUUGCCCACUUAUUGACAAGACGAGAGAAGAAGCCGCUGGGCAUUCAACAUGAAGAUUGCUUACAUUGUGCUCAAAGGCUUUUGUGCUGUCGGUACCAAUUAUCCGUUACAAAGGGGACAGCUUCUGUGUUCCACAUGGAGGAUCUCCAUUGUUCACGAAGGUAAAUGUUGGCCAGCAUCUUGAGGAACAUUUGUCUCCAGCAAGGAACUAAACGGAGUUGUCAGUGUCAGAGUGAAUAAAAGUGUCAUAAAUAUUUUUAUCCGGAUUUAAAUAAGCUCUGGAUGUCAAGCGCUGGAAUCUUACUGUGAAGGCUCGGGUUCAGUUCUGGCUUAUUCCAUUUAGACUAAUUGUGAACGAAGUGGCACGGGAGAAAGUUUUCUCGGAGUUUUUUUCUUCUGGAUUUUUCUUGCAUACAUAAUUUCACCACUGGUCCAUAAUUAUGUAUCGCAGCGUCGUGAGAUCUGCUGGAGUCCUGCUUAAGCACCAUAUUGUCAUAUCCUGCUUCUUCACGUUCAGGGCUUCGAAUCUGAUCAGGAAACUGGGCAGUUAACAGUUCCGCUGACAUAUCAAAAACUGCUGUAAGGCAGGGCAAUACGAUAACCAGCAUCAGGACACAGAAGAGAUCAGAAAAAGUUGUUUAUAAUUAAAGCUACAUAUUUAAUAUUAUUAUUUAAUACUAAUAUUACAUUUAAUUAUCAUAAUAUUGCAAUUAUAAUUGUUUGGGAAAAUUACGUGAUGCGGAAAUUUAUAGCUUAUAGGUUUACUGUUCACCUAAUGGGGCACGCGAUAGCGUAGUUGG